rnacentral:rRNA from 1 species
GACGAACCGUGCGAACGUUAUUCGGAAUCACUGGGCUUAAAGCGCGUGUAGGUGGAAGGGCACGUCCGUUGCUGAAAUCCCCCGGCUCAACCGGGGAACGGGCGCGGAUACGACUCUUCUGGAGGGGCGUAGGGGGACCUGGAACUUCCGGUGGAGCGGUGAAAUGCGUUGAGAUCGGAAGGAACGCCCGUGGCGAAAGCGAGGUCCUGGACGCCUACUGACGCUGAGACGCGAAAGCCAGGGGAGCGAACGGG